rnacentral:rRNA from 1 species
GACGUAGGGCGCGAGCGUUUGUCCGGAAUUAUUGGGCGUAAAGAGCUCGUAGGCGGCCUGUCGCGUCGACUGUGAAAACCCAGGGCUCAACCCUGGGCCUGCAGUCGAUACGGGCAGGCUAGAGUGCAGUAGGGGAGACUGGAAUUCCUGGUGUAGCGGUGAAAUGCGCAGAUAUCAGGAGGAACACCGGUGGCGAAGGCGGGUCUCUGGGCUGUAACUGACGCUGAGGAGCGAAAGCGUGGGGGAGCGAACAGG